rnacentral:rRNA from 1 species
GAUGAACGCUGGCGGCGUGCCUAAUACAUGCAAGUCGAGCGAACAGACGAGGAGCUUGCUCCUCUGAUGUUAGCGGCGGACGGGUGAGUAACACGUGGAUAACCUACCUAUAAGACUGGGAUAACUUCGGGAAACCGGAGCUAAUACCGGAUAAUAUAUUGACCCGCAUGGUUCAAUAGUGAAAGACGGUUUUGCUGUCACUUAUAGAUGGAUCCGCGCCGCAUUAGCUAGUUGGUAAGGUAACGGCUUACCAAGGCAACGAUGCGUAGCCGACCUGAGAGUGUGAUCGGCCACUGUUGAACUUAGACACGGUCCAGACUCCUACGGGAGACAGCAGUAGGGAAUCUUCCGCAAUGGGCGAGAGCCUGACGGCGCAACGCCGCGUGAGUGAUGAAGGUCUUCGGAUCGUAAAACACUGUUCUGAGAGAAAAACAAAUGUGUAAGUAGCUAUGCACGUCUUGACGGUACCUAAUCAGAAAGCCAGGGCUAACUACGUG